rnacentral:lncRNA from 1 species
GAAACAACCUUCCCAGAACUUGAAGGACGGCCUGUGAGCCUGCUGUUUCACCCCUGGUGUUUCAGUGUGAUUUGGAUGCUGGAGUGAGGCCUCUCGGUCUCCACAUCCAGACCUUGCCAUCGUAGUUCUAAAGGCCAGAAAGCCAGGAUCAGGAGGCCAGAGGGGACCUGCUGGGGCGCUGGCAGCCCUGGGCUGAUAGGGAAGAAAAAUUAGAGGUCUCGACCAAGCAAUCACUUAGAUGACGGAUCCUUCCAUUUUGGGGUUUGGCUUCCCUCGUCACCUGCACCCCCACCCACCUCCCUUCACCUCCCCAAGGGCCAAGGCGUCCUGCACUUGUGGCUGUG